UACAGAGGGUGCGAGCGUUAAUCGGAAUUACUGGGCGUAAAGCGUGCGUAGACGGUUAUGUAAGUCGGAUGUGAAGGCCCCGGGCUCAACCUGGGAAUUGCAUUCGAGACUGCAUAGCUAGGAUGCGGAAGAGGGAAGUGGAAUUUCCGGUGUAGCGGUGAAAUGCGUAGAUAUCGGAAGGAACAUCAGUGGCGAAAGCGACUUCCUGGUCCAGCAUCGACGUUCAGGCACGAAAGCGUGGGGAGCAAACAGG
rnacentral:rRNA from 1 species